rnacentral:lncRNA from 1 species
AGAUGUUAUUUCAAAUCCAUAGGAUUUUCCACUGGGUAGUAAUUAAAGCCACUCAAACUAUAAACUAUAAGAAAAGUACUUGACACUAUCUUGAGAAGUAAAUUUAUUUCAAGGUUACUUUAGGUUCAUGGGAUUUACAUUACAGAGAGGUAAGAGAUAUGUUACAGUCAUGUAGAGGAGGAUUAUGCAAUACUUAACUAUAUCUAGAUCUAAAUUUAGGCCUUUUCUCCCUCCCAGCUUAAUGUCUUCAUUUCAAUAAAAAUGUUUGCUACUCUACUGGAAAAAUACAGAAACAUUCAAAACAUAACUUUUUUUCUUUGUUUUUAGGACUAAAACACAAUUCCUGUUUUUGAAGCUCAGUUUGAAAAAUUAAUUUGUAACAUAAACACAAAGAGCAUUGUAAUGCAGCUCCUAAUCCCAGCUGCCUCCACCUGUUCUUUGCCUGUCUGAAAUUAAAAACCAGCAUUCAACAAUGUUUCUCCAGCCACAUUCACUCAGCACAAAUGCUGUGACAGAGUAGACCAUGGGCUGCUGGUUAGACACAGUCACCUUCUAGCUCUGCCAUGGAGCUACCAGGAAGUCACAUCCCCAUGUGUACCCAUAGGCCAGGAUCUCAUAUCCUCACUAUAAAAAGGCAUUUUUAGAUGAAAAGAUUAAAUUCGGACCUUUCUGCAUUUGCUAAAUAUCACACAAAACUGAAACACAUUUUAGAUAAGGGAUCUUAACGUCACAGAAGAAUGCAAAUGUCUGAAUGAUACCAAAAAAUCAUUUAUCCUCUGGGAACAAAAUACCUCUCUCCUAGUAAGCCUCUAGACCUCCUGUUUUGCUAGUCUGAUUGCAGGAACUUUAAUAGAAUAGCAAUAUUUUUUUUUUAAGCAAUUCCUUUCUUUAAAGAGCAAACCUCUUUUUUUAACUUUUGCUGGACACUAAUCUUGGUAAAAUCUAGUACUCAUAAAACUACAGCACUGCCCUAGGAAUUUUUUUGCAAGAGAGAGUUAUUUCUUCCUGCUGAACUUUCAUAUUGCAAGAAAAAUAUACUACCCUUUUCUAAAAAUAUGUUCUCCCUGUCACACUCAGAAAUAAAUCUGUCAGCAGGCAUUCUGACA